rnacentral:lncRNA from 1 species
UAUGGUUCAAUGAUUGGUUCUUUAGGUUGCUCUUGAAUCACUUUAACCUUAGGAAGUGUACAUUCGAUAAUAAAGUUGGCUAAUACUUGAGCUUUUAUAGAGGACCAAGGAAUAUAAGAUAUAUCAAACUCAUUGAGUUCUGUCAUCCAUUUCAUCCAUUUUCUUAAGGUAUCUGGUCAUUGCAAUAAGGCUUUCAAGGGA